rnacentral:rRNA from 1 species
CCGAGAUGAGUUCUCCCUGAGACUUAGAGUCUCCUGAAGGAACGUUGAAGACGACGACGUUGAUAGGCCGGGUGUGUAAGCGCAGCGAUGCGUUGAGCUAACCGGUACUAAUGAACCGUGAGGCUUAACCUUAC